GAUGAACGCUGGCGGCGUGCUUAACACAUGCAAGUCGAACGGAAAGGCCACAGCUUGCUGUGGUACUCGAGUGGCGAACGGGUGAGUAACACGUGGGUGAUCUGCCCUGUACUUCGGGAUAAGCUUGGGAAACUGGGUCUAAUACCGGAUAGGAAUCACAUGUGGGUGUGUGGUUGUAAAGCUUUUGCGGUAUGGGAUGAGCUCGCGGCCUAUCAGCUUGUUGGUGGGGUAAUGGCCUACCAAGGCGUCGACGGGUAGCCGGCCUGAGAGGGUGUACGGCCACAUUGGGACUGAGAUACGGCCCAGACUCCUACGGGAGGCAGCAGUGGGGAAUAUUGCACAAUGGGCGCAAGCCUGAUGCAGCGACGCCGCGUGGGGGAUGACGGCCUUCGGGUUGUAAACUCCUUUCGUCAGGGACGAAGCGAAAGUGACGGUACCUGGAGAAGAAGCACCGGCUAACUACGUG
rnacentral:rRNA from 1 species